rnacentral:rRNA from 1 species
AUCCUGGCUCAGGAUGAACGCUAGCUACAGGCUUAACACAUGCAAGUCGAGGGGGAAACGACAGGGAGUGCUUGCACACUCUGGGCGUCGACCGGCGCACGGGUGAGUAACGCGUAUCCAACCUGCCCACCACUUGGGAAUAACCUUGCGAAAGUAAGACUAAUGCCCAAUGAUAUUGAGUGCAGACAUCUAAUCUCAAUUAAAGAUUUAUCGGUGAUGGAUGGGGAUGCGUCCGAUUAGCUUGUUGGCGGGGUAACGGCCCACCAAGGCAACGAUCGGUAGGGGUUCUGAGAGGAAGGUCCCCCACAUUGGAACUGAGACACGGUCCAAACUCCUACGGGAGGCAGCAGUGAGGAAUAUUGGUCAAUGGCCGCAAGGCUGAACCAGCCAAGUCGCGUGAGGGAAUAAGGCCCUAUGGGUCGUAAACCUCUUUUGUCAGGGAGCAAAGCCGCACACGAGUGAGCGGAAGGAGAGUACCUGAAGAAAAAGCAUCGGCUAACUCCGUG